rnacentral:rRNA from 2 species
GAUUGAUGGUGCUUGCACCUGAUUGAUUUUGGUCGCCAACGAGUGGCGGACGGGUGAGUAACACGUAGGUAACCUGCCCAGAAGCGGGGGACAACAUUUGGAAACAGAUGCUAAUACCGCAUAACAGCGUUGUUCGCAUGAACAACGCUUAAAAGAUGGCUUCUCGCUAUCACUUCUGGAUGGACCUGCGGUGCAUUAGCUUGUUGGUGGGGUAACGGCCUACCAAGGCGAUGAUGCAUAGCCGAGUUGAGAGACUGAUCGGCCACAAUGGGACUGAGACACGGCCCAUACUCCUACGGGAGGCAGCAGUAGGGAAUCUUCCACAAUGGGCGCAAGCCUGAUGGAGCAACACCGCGUGAGUGAAGAAGGGUUUCGGCUCGUAAAGCUCUGUUGUUAAAGAAGAACACGUAUGAGAGUAACUGUUCAUACGUUGACGGUAUUUAACCAGAAAGUCACGGCUAACUACGUGCCAGCAGCCGCGGUAAUACGUAGGUGGCAAGCGUUAUCCGGAUUUAUUGGGCGUAAAGAGAGUGCAGGCGGUUUUCUAAGUCUGAUGUGAAAGCCUUCGGCUUAACCGGAGAAGUGCAUCGGAAACUGGAUAACUUGAGUGCAGAAGAGGGUAGUGGAACUCCAUGUGUAGCGGUGGAAUGCGUAGAUAUAUGGAAGAACACCAGUGGCGAAGGCGGCUACCUGGUCUGCAACUGACGCUGAGACUCGAAAGCAUGGGUAGCGAACAGGAUUAGAUACCCUGGUAGUCCAUGCCGUAAACGAUGAGUGCUAGGUGUUGGAGGGUUUCCGC